rnacentral:rRNA from 1 species
CAAAUGGAGAGUUUGAUCCUGGCUCAGGAUGAACGCUGGCGGCAUGCCUAAUACAUGCAAGUCGAACGCACGGAAAAGAGAGCUUGCUUUCUUGGAAGUGAGUGGCGAACGGGUGAGUAACACGUAGGUAACCUGCCCAUGUGCCCGGGAUAACUGCUGGAAACGGUAGCUAAAACCGGAUAGGUGAGGAGAAGGCAUCUUCU